GAUGAACGCUGGCGGCGUGCCUAAUACAUGCAAGUCGAGCGAAGCGGGGACGGGUGAGUAACACGUGGAUAACCUCCUCUAAGACUGGGAUAACAUCGGUAAACAGGAGCUAAACCGGACACGUAUAGAUGGAUUCGGGCUGCAUUAGCUAGUUGGUAAGGUAACGGCUUACCAAGGCAACGAGGCAUAGCCGACCUGAGAGGGUGAUGGGCCAAACUGGAACUGAGACACGGUCCAGACUCCUACGGAAGGAAGCAGUGGGGAAUCUUCCGCAAUGGGCGAAAGCCUGACGGAGAAACGCCGCGUGAGUGAUGAAGGUCUUCGGAUCGUAAAACUCUGUUAUUAGGGAAGCGGUACCUAAACAGAAAGCCACGGCUAACUACGUGCCAGCAGCCGCGGUAAUUC
rnacentral:rRNA from 1 species